rnacentral:rRNA from 1 species
GAGUUUGAUCCUGGUCAAAACGAACGCUGGCGGUUUUUUUACACAUGCAGUCGAACGAGAUCUUCGGGUCUAGUGGCUGCACGGGUGCUAACGCGUGGGAAUCUGCCCUUGGGUUCGGAAUAACAGUGAGAAAUUACUGCUAAUACCGGAUGAUGUCUUCGGACCAAAGAUUUAUCGCCCAGGGAUGAGCCCGCGUAGGAUUAGGUAGUUGGUGGGGUAAUGGCCUACCAAGCCCGACUGAUCUUAGCUGGUCUGAGAGGAUGAUCAGCCACACUGGGACUGAGACACGGACCACACUCCUACGGGAGGCAGCAUGGGGAAUAUUGGACAAUGGGCGAAGCCUGAUCCAGCAAUGCUGCGUGAGUGAUGAAAGCCUUACGGUUGAAAGCUCUUUUACCAUGGAUGAUAAUGACUGUACCUGGAGAAUAAGCUCCGUAACUCCGGCCAGCAGCCGCGGUAAUACGAGGGAGCUAGCGUUGUUCCGGAAUUACUGGGCCUAAAGCGCGCGUACGCGGACUCAAGUCAAGUGAAAAGCCCGGGCUCAACCCCCGGAACUGGCUUUGAAACUAGGUGACUAGAAUCUUGAAGGUCCCCGGAAUUCCCUGGAAAGGUGAAUCGUAGAUAUUUCGAAGAACACCAGCGGCGGAAGGAUUGCGACUGUAUUGACGCUG